rnacentral:lncRNA from 1 species
UCGUUCGAUAGGUGGUCUACCUCUCGUGUUUUCUUUUUGUGAGAGGUUGAGAGUUGUACCCGUAUAUGUAUAGAGACCACCAUUUUUGUACUAGGGACAGUAUUGUACUACUUAUGGUUACCUUUGUUUGACUAGCUUGAUUUCUUUACCUUGGUAUAGAUGAUAGAACUUUACUCGCUCUGAUAUCAUUAGUUGCUAGUUAUUUUACUUCUUUAUUUGUUCUAUCUCUUGCUUUACUUCCGCUUUUAUUGUAGACGCCUUAUAUGUGUAGACAUAUGGCGGGUCUGGGCACGCUACCGGGAGGGCCUCCGCCGGUCCCGGGGCGUGACACUCGAAAUACCGAAUUCUCGUUGUAGAACAUCUUUGCCAGUCCUCGAUCGCUUGAAAUCCUCCAACCGAUCACACUGCAAAUCCUUGCAGCCACACACGCCUCGACUCCUCGAAAUGCCUACCGAAUCCACGGUCUUCACGCGAGAUCCACGCGUUAACGCUCCAUCCGAAGCUCGUAGAGAUUUAACAAUUUGUGGUGAUUUAAACUCUUUGAAAGCACAUAUGAUAUGAGGAGAAAUCCAAAUCAAAACAUCACCAAUUUGAUUCUUAAAGAAAGUUUGAAUCAAAAACUGAAGAAUCAAAACGGUGAUCUAAAGUUUGAUAUUGAGAAACAUGGAUCAAAACUCAAAUCAAGCCGUUAGGGUUUCUAAAAGAUUAUCUCGCUCAACA